rnacentral:rRNA from 1 species
GGCCGCGGGAAUUCGAUUCAGGCCUAACACAUGCAAGUCGAGCGAACCCUUCGGGGUGAGCGGCGGACGGGUGAGUAACGCGUGGGUAACCUGCCCUGUACACACGGAUAACAUACCGAAAGGUAUGCUAAUACGAGAUAAUAUAUUUUAGUCGCAUGGCUAAGAUAUCAAAGCUCCGGCGGUACAGGAUGGACCCGCGUCUGAUUAGCUAGUUGGUGAGGUAAUGGCUCACCAAGGCGACGAUCAGUAGCCGACCUGAGAGGGUGAUCGGCCACACUGGAACUGAGACACGGUCCAGACUCCUACGGGAGGCAGCAGUGGGGAAUAUUGCACAAGGGGCGAAAGCCUGAUGCAGCAACGCCGCGUGAGCGAAAGAGGCCUUCGGGUCGUAAAGCUCUGUCCUCAAAGAAG